GAAUGAAGGAAGCAUGGUACUGUGCACAGAGAACGAAGUUUCACGGUCGCUUGUCUGCCCCCUCUGAUUCGUUUCAUGAUUUGGGGGCCUGGUUUUAGACCUAUAUUU
rnacentral:snoRNA from 1 species